rnacentral:rRNA from 1 species
AGCGAACGCUGGCGGCAGGCCUAACACAUGCAAGUCGAACGAAGUCUUCGGACUUAGUGGCGGACGGGUGAGUAACACGUGGGAACGUACCUUUUGGUUCGGAGCAACUCAGGGAAACUUGAGCUAAUACCGGAUGAGCCCUUAGGGGGAAAGAUUUAUCGCCGAAAGAGCGGCCCGCGUUAGAUUAGCUAGUUGGUGAGGUAAAGGCUCACCAAGGCUACGAUCUAUAGCUGGUCUGAGAGGAUGAUCAGCCACACUGGGACUGAGACACGGCUCAGACUCCUACGGGAGGCAGCAGUGGGGAAUCUUGCGCAAUGGGCGAAAGCCUGACGCAGCCAUGCCGCGUGAAUGAUGAAGGUCUUAGGAUUGUAAAAUUCUUUUACCAGGGACGAUAAUGACGGUACCUGGAGAAAAAGCCCCGGCUAACUUCGUGCCAGCCGCCGCAGUAAUAC